rnacentral:lncRNA from 12 species
GUUAACAAUUCAUUUCUACAAGCCCUGGUGUUCAGUGAAGUCUUCAAAAAAUAAAAAUCUCCAUUAACGGGAAAAAAAUUACUAUGUAUUACAUCUUAACCUAAAACACCCAAACCAUUUUCAAAGAUUUUUUAAAAAACGUAUGUGUGUGUAUAUAUAUAAUUAUUUAUACAUACACACAAGUCCAUUCAUAUAUGUAUAUAUUCACACAUACACCUGUAAGAAAAGUAAGUUUGCAUAAAAAAUAGUACAGAAUUUGAAAGGAAGCAAGCAUAGUAAUCCAGUGAAGGUUUAUCGUACUCACCAAAGGAAGAAAAGAUGACCUGAUAAAGAAACUGCUUAAAAGCACCAAGUUGAACAAAAAUCAAAAUAACUGCAUUAAUGCUUCAGUGAAACUCAAUUUUAUUUAUUUAUUUUUUAAGACAUGUUUUCUUUUUAUUAUUUGAAGAUUUUAUUUAUUUAUUCAUGAGAGAGAGAGGUAGAGGCAGGCUCCUUGCAGUGCAGGAAGCCCGUUGUGGACUCGAUCUCAGGACCCCGAGAUCAUGACCUGAGCUGAAGGCAGAUGCUUAACCCACUGAGCCACCCAGGCGCCCCAAAGCUGGGUUUUAAAAGUGACCGGCUUCCUGUCUUCCCUAAAACUCCCCUCCCUCCUUUCUUAGUCUUUUUUUUUUUCAAGAGCCUGUUAGCACCUUGAAAAGGACCUGAGGCUGGCAGCAGUACAUAAUUCCUGCCCAAACCAGCUAGAUCCUGCAUUUCUCUGAAACCAUGCCCCUCCCCCUCCCCCCCACUCCCCGCCCAGCUCCCUGGGGGGUAAGGGAGGGACUCGCGGUUUUUGAAGGCCAGAGCCUGCUGCAGCUCCCUUUGCCCACUGAAGCAGUACAGCUAUUGUUCUUCUUUAUCCCAAAUUCUGUCUUCCCUUAUGUUUUGGCUCCAAAGCACAGAGGACAGUUUUGGACAACUGUGGGUGAUGUAUGGACAGCAAAAGCAAUGCAAACUUUUGCUGUGUUUCUUUUUCCUGGAUGCCAAGAAUCUCAAAUGUAAAAGCAUUGCUUAUUGAGAGCUUAAGAGCAAUGUUCUCCAAACCCAGAUUCCUGACUCAUGACUUUUCUCAUCGGAGCAAAUUUAGAAAACUAUAUAAACAGUGCCUCUUUGGUCAUAGCUGAACAAUGUGUAGGAAUGGAAGCUACAAUCGGAUGCAGGAGGCUCUAAGCAUUCUGACUAAAAUUACAUGACUGCCUUGGGCCAGAGGAGAGGGGAUGGAGGAGGAGUGG